AACAGAGUCAUAAGGGUGCAGGAAAACAAAAGGAUAUGGAAUUUUAGGCAGGCCACCGCUUCCAAUUUUUAGGCAAACAGUUCCUUCAAUUCAAAACGAAAGGGGGGACAUUAACUAGCUUCGGAUAGGAUAUUGGUGGGAGGUCGGGAAGUGGUCAGACCCGCUCCAGGGCUAUAACUGCGAGGGGGCAUAAUGAUCAGAAG
rnacentral:lncRNA from 1 species